rnacentral:rRNA from 1 species
UACGUAGGUGGCAAGCGUUAUCCGGAUUUACUGGGUGUAAAGGGCGUGUAGGCGGGAGAGCAAGUCAGACGUGAAAUUCCAGGGCUCAACCCUGGAACUGCGUUUGAAACUGUUCUUCUUGAGUGAUGGAGAGGCAGGCGGAAUUCCGUGUGUAGCGGUGAAAUGCGUAGAUAUACGGAGGAACACCAGUGGCGAAGGCGGCCUGCUGGACAUUAACUGACGCUGAGGCGCGAAAGCGUGGGUAUCAAACAGG